GGGGUUGUAGCUUAGUGGUAGAGUGCUUGCCUAGCAUGUGUGAGACCCUGGGUUCUAUCCCCAGCACCAUUU
rnacentral:tRNA from 1 species